AUACUAAUGUGCGACUAUGCAAAUUUUCUCUAAUCUCCUCAAACAAAAGCCCCACACAAUGCACGAGCGGAUCCCUCCAUCAAAACCACCCAGCGCUUCAAAAGGUUACGAGCCAAAACCGCUUUGCCGAUUUUCAAAAUUCUUUUUUCCACUUCGUCCUGGAUCCUCAAACUACUGCGUAGGGGGUUUCUUUUUUUCGUUUUUCCUCCCUUUUUAUAGAUAUUUGUACCUUUUCUCCCGGGUUCGUUCCAAAAUCGCUCCAAAACCUCUCCAUCACGAUUAGUGCUCUCCGAGCUCUUUGUCCCAUUGUCCCGUUUCUAAAGGUUCUUUCUCUCUCUUUUCUCUUGGUCUCUACAAAAGAUUUCAAAACUUCUUCCUCCAGCAAUCGUUCCAUUUCAAAGGAGGCUUUUCAAAUGUGCUCAUAAUUUUUUGGUGAUUUGGAAUUGGAUGAUAAUAAAUCUACGUGCACUGCUGGUUGGCAUUCCUUUUCGAACUCGAAGCGGUUGUCGACGGUCGUGUUCUACAGUGCUACAGUGCUACAGUGCUACAGCUGCAGUAGCUACGUACGUACGGUACACCCGCUGCUGCCCGUUUUUUGGUUUUGCGAUUGCUGCUGGCUGAUCCCCUUCUUCACUGGCAUCAGAAUCGAUGGCAUGUGAAUACAGAUAAACGAUCGGAUUCGCUGACUUUUUGGUACAACAAAUCAAAUAGCGUUUCAAGCAAUGAUUACGACGCAGACGUGAUUCUCGGACCUUCGAAACGAAAUUCGUGGCAUUUAUGUUGUCGUUAAAUCGAACAAAGAAACAUGAAAAAACUUGACUGUGGAGAAACGGACUAAAGUUAUUUAGAUUAGCUGUUGUCCGUAAAUUGUAUUUUGUUAAUUUGUUGUUAGAGUAAGAUUCCUUUCUGAUGCACGAAACUUGGCUGUUUUUUAUCUUUCUAUUUCUUAACUGCUUUGUUCCUGCAGUGUUUCAAAAGCUAAUUGUGACGGAGAUUUGAUAUGUGGACCUCAAAUGUAUAGAACUGCGUAAUAACUCUAUAACUCUUUGGAGUUUAGAAGAGGAGUCGUUAAUUCUUUUAUGAAUCGACAUUUUUUAAGGAAUUUUGAUGCUUAAGAAAUUUUUAGAUGAUAUAUAUCUAAACGAGCACCAUGGACCAAUAACGGCUAACAGGAAUUUAUUGUUGGAAAACGUUAAUGUUUGAUUCAAAAUAAACAGAGGAACUUUAAAGGUGGCCCCAAAUUAUAUCUUAAAACAGCAUCACAAAUGAACAAGAAUUGAACGAAAUGCUAUGUUAAAGAUAUUCACGCUGGAUUCAAAAUGAACAUUACAGCAUUAAGAAUGGCCUUAGAAAAUAUUUAUAAGCGCCCUAUAAGUCGACGAGGGCUAAGAGUGUAUGAUUGGACAACUUAAAAAUUUGAUUCUGACUAAAUAGGAGAAAUUAUAGGAUUAACUCGUGAAAAUGAUGGGGGCUGGCAGAAGUAUGUAGCUGUCAAGUUUAAAGUAGAAUUCAGAAUAUUUAACAAAGCUUUUAGAUAAGCCUGCAAGAUAUUUAAACGAGCACCACGAUUCACCGAGAGAUAAAAGAAAAUGGAAGUUUCAAAACAUUGCAAUUAGAAUAAGCAGGAGAAAUAAAGAGGGUAACCCGUGAAAGUAUUUAAGCAAGGACCCCAAAUAGAUCGUGGCUUACAAAAUGUAUUGAAGCAACUUUCUGUAUUGCCUUGAUAUUGCAACCGUUUAUGUAUCAAAUUGAUAUGCACAUUUUAAUAAACGGAAGAGUAGCUCCCAGUAAAUCCCGCUCUUUGGGCACCCUAUGGCCCCAAAAUGGGAUAGUAAGAUUAGCUUCUGAAUAAGUCAAGAGUGCUAUUAACCUUGAUUUCAAAGGGCUUCAGAUGGUGAUGAAAGCCAUGAUAUUGCUAAUUGGUAAUCAUAAUAAUCAAGGAACUACUUAUUGGAUUGAUUCUAUUAGGAAUUUCGCAAGUAUGGGUAUCUGGAGCCAGCAAGUAAUUAAGUUUGGGUUUACUUUUCUAAAAGGAUUUACUGAAUUACAAUCAAGGUAAUAAAGCAUUAUCUUCCUACACGAAAAUAGCUCUUAUCUCAAUAGGGUUGUUGCUGCAAGUAAAUAAUACUUUGUCCUCGAGCAAUUAUUUCCUGCUCUUGCCAAUAGUAUAUGAUACUCACAGUAGGCGUGACUAUGGAUUGGAUUAAUUAUGUUUGUCUUUUGUCAUGCUUAGAAUGUGCUUGCCUGCUUGCCGUAUGAUAUUACACUUUUUGCUUGCAUUCCUUAUUAAAUUGAAAGAAUGUAAGAGGGCAUUGUUUUUUUACUUUGAUUUUCAGGAUAGAUUCAAUUUUAAUUUUAUUUGUCAGAGGAGUAAACAAAUAAGUAAAGUUGGGAAGUCUUACCAUGAAAUUCUAUGGAAAAUUAAAACAGGAGACUUAGGGGGUAACCCAUUAAAAUAUCUAAACGAGGAACACGAAUAGACCUGGGCUUCCAAAUGUUUUGAAGCAACUUUCAAUUAACGGAAGACUAGCUCCCCUACGAAGCCCGCUACGCGGGCUUGCCAGUGACCCUACGGUAAGAGUACAUAGAUUAGCCUCGGUAAAGACAAGAAUUCUUUCGAAGCCCCCAAUGAGUAUGCAGAUUAGCCUCGGAAAAGACAAGAGGUGUAUCAAACUCGAUUUGAAAAAAAUUGGCUCCGCACAGGUCACGUGAUAAAAAAAUUACUCGCACUCCUGUGACUAUCGCUAGUCAGGGGGUCGCCUGAAAUAGAGAAGGGGUAGAGGCUCCC